UUAAAGGAAGUUCGACGGGGCCCGCACAAGCGGAGGAACAUGUGGUUUAAUUCGAUGAUACGCGAGGAACCUUACCCGGGCUUGAAAUGCAUCUGACCGGCCUUGAAAGAGGUUUUCCCUUCGGGGCAGAUGUGUAGGUGCUGCAUGGUUGUCGUCAGCUCGUGCCGUGAGGUGUCGGCUUAAGUGCCAUAACGAGCCGCAACCCUCAUCAUUAGUUACCAUCAGGUAAGGCUGGGGACUCUAAUGAGACUGCCAUCGUAAGAUGUGAGGAAGGUGGGGAUGACGUCAAAUCAGCACGGCCCUUACGUCCGGGGCGACACACGUGUUACAAUGGGUGGUACAAAGGGCAGCUACCUGGCGACAGGAUGCUAAUCUCCAAAACCACUCUCAGUUCGGAUCGGAGUCUGCAACUCGACUCCGUGAAGCUGGAUUCGCUAGUAAUCGCGCAUCAGCCACGGCGCGGUGAAUACGUUCCCGGGCCUU
rnacentral:rRNA from 1 species